AUAUAAUGUAGCCUGGUGGCAAAAAUAGUUCAAAUCGAUAUAGGAAUAACCUCAGCUAUAUAUAAAGAUUAUCGUUAAUCUAAUGAGUUUUUGAUGAAUGUUUCUGUCUAAUUGUGUAUUAUCUUAAUAACACUAAAAAAUAAAUUGCACCUAGCCCUUCCACACUUGUUCACUUAGUCAAACAUUAGACACCAAAAAUAUUUAACGCAGUAUUCUUUGUAUAUAGAAGUGUCAUAUUUUUUAUUUUUUUAUUAAACGAGACAAUGUAAAGACAAACCUAUAGAGGACUUGGAAUAUUUUUACACCAUUUGGGAUUACAAUGAUGAUCUUUAUAAGAGUGUGGUGACAGAGCAAUUAUCGGAAGUGCCUGGGAAAGUUAUAAACAAUUGUGAUCCUUAAUUUCAACAACUAAAUACAUACUAAAAAUGGAAACAUAAUACAGUCAAUACGGAAAUUUAAUCAUCACCAUUCUACUCGUCCAAAUUUUGGCAGUAUUUUUACAAAGAUGAGGAUAUUUACUACUUGGAACACUCUCAUAAUGAUCACAUUCAGAUGCUGAUGAGUUGCCUUUCUUGUACAUAAGCGAACCCUCUAAAUUGCGUCAAAUCACAAGCGACAAAAGCUGCACGUUCGUUUGCUAUUGCUGUGGAGUGGGCGACUUCUUAUAUUCCUAAAUUUAAUAAAACGUCCGGAAGAACAUUGUCACAACCUCCAAAUUCAUUUUCGGACCGCCUGUAAUAUAUUGCAAGCACAACCACAUCAGCUUGACUUUGGCUUUGCACGUCCAUCCCACAUACAUAUAAAGAUUUUGACCGGAGCUUCAAAUCCAUUCAGUACCAUGGCAAGCAUCAUGCACCAUAUUACAACGUUUUGCAUGGAUUUCCGCUAUAUACGCUAACUCGUUAUCCCAGAUUAUUUCACGCAUGCGACUGGCCUUUGGAAAUUUUCCCACGCCUUUGAGUUCCUGUUCACUCCCAGCUAAUCUGUUGCGAUGUUCAUUGUGUCGAUCGACAUAAAGACGUUUAAUUGAGCCUGUCAAUGGCAAAAGACCAAGAACUUCGCCUUAUAUAAGAUAUGAUACUGUACUAAUAAUAUAUUAGUUACUCACGACCGUAUAAUCCGGAUUCGGGAAAAUGCUUAUUAGUAUUCAUAAUUCAUUCACAAUAAUAAUACGAGUUGGUUAAAAUGUAAGGCCUUAUUGAUGUAGCGACUAAAUAAAAGCGAAAGUAUAGAAUAUUAAACAUUUUUAUAUUUUUAUGGA